rnacentral:rRNA from 1 species
AUUGAACGCUGGCGGCAGGCCUAACACAUGCAAGUCGAGCGGAUGAAGAGAGCUUGCUCUCUGAUUUAGCGGCGGACGGGUGAGUAAUGCCUAGGAAUCUGCCUGGUAGUGGGGGAUAACGUUCCGAAAGGAACGCUAAUACCGCGUACGUCCUACGGGAGAAAGCAGGGGACCUUCGGGCCUUGCGCUACCAGAUGAGCCUAGGUCGGAUUAGCUAGUUGGUGAGGUAAUGGCUCACCAAGGCGACGAUCCGUAACUGGUCUGAGAGGAUGAUCAGUCACACUGGAACUGAGACACGGUCCAGACUCCUACGGGAGGCAGCAGUGGGGAAUAUUGGACAAUGGGCGAAAGCCUGAUCCAGCCAUGCCGCGUGUGUGAAGAAGGUCUUCGGAUUGUAAAGCACUUUAAGUUGGGAGGAAGGGCAGUAAGUUAAUACCUUGCUGUUUUGACGUUACCGACAGAAUAAGCACCGGCUAACUUCGUGCCAGCAGCCGCCGCCGUAA